rnacentral:rRNA from 1 species
UACGUAGGUGGCAAGCGUUAUCCGGAUUUACUGGGUGUAAAGGGCGUGUAGGCGGGGACGCAAGUCAGAUGUGAAAACCACGGGCUCAACCUGUGGCCUGCAUUUGAAACUGUGUUUCUUGAGUACUGGAGAGGCAGACGGAAUUCCUAGUGUAGCGGUGAAAUGCGUAGAUAUUAGGAGGAACACCAGUGGCGAAGGCGGCCUGCUGGACGGUGACUGACGCUGAGGCUCGAAAGCGUGGGGAGCAAACAGG